rnacentral:rRNA from 1 species
CCUACGGGAGGCAGCAGUAGGGAAUCUUCCACAAUGGGCGAAAGCCUGAUGGAGCAACGCCGCGUGAGUGAAGAAGGUCUUCGGAUCGUAAAACUCUGUUGUUAGAGAAGAAAGUGCGUGAGAGUAACUGUUCACGUUUCGACGGUAUCUAACCAGAAAGCCACGGCUAACUACGUGCCAGCAGCCGCGGUAAUACGUAGGUGGCAAGCGUUAUCCGGAUUUAUUGGGCGUAAAGGGAGCGCAGGCGGUCUUUUAAGUCUGAUGUGAAAGCCUUCGGCUUAACCGGAGUAGGGCAUUGGAAACUGGGAGACUUGAGUGCAGAAGAGGAGAGUGGAACUCCAUGUGUAGCGGUGAAAUGCGUAGAUAUAUGGAAGAACACCAGUGGCGAAAGCGGCUCUCUGGUCUGUAACUGACGCUGAGGUUCGAAAGCGUGGGUAGCAAACAGGAUUAGAUACCCUAGUAGUC